AGCGAACGCUGGCGGCGUGCUUAACACAUGCAAGUCGAACGUGAAAUGUAGCAAUACAGAGUAAAGUGGCGUACGGGUGAGUAACACGUGGGUAAUCUACCAAAGAGCCUGGAAUAACCGACCGAAAGGUUGGCUAAUACUGGAUAGUUCAAAUGAAAUAUAAUGUUUCGAUUGGGAAAGGGAGCGAGCAAUCGCCUUCACUAUUUGAUGAGCCCGCGUCUGAUUAGCUAGUUGGUAGGGUAAUGGCCUACCAAGGCGACGAUCAGUAGCUGGUCUGAGAAGAUGAUCAGCCACACUGGAACUGAAACACUGUCCAGACUCCUACGGGAGGCAGCAGUGGGGAAUCUUGCGCAAUGGACGAAAGUCUGACGCAGCCACGCCGCGUGAGUGAAGAAGGCCUUCGGGUUGUAAAGCUCUGUCGGAAGGGACAAAAACGUUUAAGGUUAAUAGCCUUAGAUCUUGAUGGUACCUUCAAAGGAAGCACCGGCUAACUUCGUGCCAGCCGCCGCAGUAA
rnacentral:rRNA from 1 species